rnacentral:rRNA from 1 species
AACGGGUGAGUAACACGUAGGCAACCUGCCCAAAAGAGGGGGAUAACACUUGGAAACAGGUGCUAAUACCGCAUAACCAUGAACACCGCAUGAUGUUCAUGUAAAAGACGGCUUUUGCUGUCACUUUUGGAUGGGCCUGCGGCGUAUUAACUUGUUGGUGGGGUAACGGCCUACCAAGGUGAUGAUACGUAGCCGAACUGAGAGGUUGAUCGGCCACAUUGGGACUGAGACACGGCCCAAACUCCUACGGGAGGCAGCAGUAGGGAAUCUUCCACAAUGGACGAAAGUCUGAUGGAGCAACGCCGCGUGAAUGAAGAAGGCCUUCGGGUCGUAAAAUUCUGUUGUCAGAGAAGAACGUGCGUGAGAGUAACUGUUCACGUAUUGACGGUAUCUGACCAGAAAGCCACGGCUAACUACGUGCCAGCAGCCGCGGUAAUACGUAGGUGGCGAGCGUUGUCCGGAUUUAUUGGGCGUAAAGGGAACGCAGGCGGUCUUUUAAGUCUGAUGUGAAAGCCUUCGGCUUAACCGAAGUAGUGCAUUGGAAACUGGAAGACUUGAGUGCAGAAGAGGAGAGUGGAACUCCA